UACGUAGGGGGCUAGCGUUGUCCGGAUUUAUUGGGCGUAAGGCGCGUGUAGGCGGCCAGCUAGGUCCGCUGUGAAAACUCGAGGCUCAACCUCGAGAUGUCGGCGGAAACCAGUUGGCUAGAGUCCGGAAGAGGAGAGUGGAAUUCCCGGUGUAGCGGUGAAAUGCGCAGAUAUCGAGAAGAACCACCCGUGGCGAAGGCGGCUCUCUGGGACGGUACUGACGCUGAAGGAGCGGAAAGCGUGGGGAGCGAACAGG
rnacentral:rRNA from 1 species